GUUCUUGAAUGCAUUAAACAUAUUAUAACGUAUGUAGGUUCUGUAUGAAUGUGCGUUGUUCUAUGUUGCAGUUCCCGCCUGUCAACCCACACCAGUCUACUGGCCAUCAUCAUCUCCUGGCUGGUACUGUAAGUAUACACUAAGGCUCUAAAGCACCUCUUGAAUAUACUGUACAAUAUCAGUGGUGUUUGUUUUUCUGUAUACUGCAUGUCACUCUUCUAUUGCAGUAUAAUACAGUCCUGUACAUGUCCAGUGUAAUAUAUCCUUCUCAAACUUGACUGAAAAGGUGUUGAUUCUAUUUAUCUUCCAGUGCAUCAUAUAUUCACAGACAAUCCAUUUCCACCUACACCCAUGACAGGUAUUUGGUAUUAUUUUAAUUCUUGCCAAUCAGGCAUUUGAUGUCAACAUUAACAAUAUUUAAACGUGCCUGACAUUUUGUUUUGCAGAGCUCUGUGUUGUUAUUUGGGCGAGGAGUUUCUCCUGACCAUAUGACUAGACCAGGAAAACUUCCAGGCCCUAGUUACUAGGGCUGAGAGUUAUUUGCUUCAUAGCCUCUGUUUACUGUAUGUCCUUACGUCCUUAUGUCUGGUGCUUCUCACCUCAAAGAUCUUGUGAUUACAAAAAAUACAUGUAAAAGCCCUUUAUUAUUUUCAAUUACAUUCUGUCACAUGAAUUCGUUUUUGUGCACCAUAUUUUAUAACUUCAGUACCAUUUAAGUACAGUACAUGGUUACCAAGUACGCAAUGAAAAGGUGUUGUACAUAGAAGUCUAACUGAUCUGUUUUCUUGCUGUUUAACAUUAUUUAACAUCCCUGGUUUAGUCCCGUGUUGCGCACCACCUCAGCUACUUUUGUCUCCUUGUCGUCACGUACAAUUUUAACUAGCUAACCUGUUUGAUCUUAUCUAGAGUAACAUAAUACAUGAUGAGAUAUGUCAUCUGGGUCCAUUUGAAUUUACAACUUUUUUUCAUCAUCUCCACUGCCCAUUCCAACAGCUCAUCCAGCGCAGCCGUUUUAUCAAGCUCCUCCAGCUUAUCAAGUUUAUCAAGCUCCUCCAAUUUAUCAAGCUCCUCCAGUUCAACCAGCACCAGCUCAACCAGCUCAUCCAACAGCUCCAGUUCAACCAGCUCAACCAGCACCAGCUCAACCAACAGCUCCAGUUCAACCAGCUGAACCAGUACCUGGACCUGCACCAGCUCCAUCGACUCAAGAACCACAGGCUCCCAAAGAAAAGGCUGCCUCCACAAAGAAGGUUCCAAAGGAAAAGACCAAGGCAGCUGCCUCAAAGACGGAGUCUCCUAAAGGAAAAGUUAAGAAGCAAGAACUUGUGGUGUCCAACGGGAAGGUCAAACCAGCUGUUGUAAAGAAAGAAGCUGUUGUCUCUGAAGAAAAGACAAAACCUUCCACAACAAAGAAAGUUUCAGAGGUUGUUGUUUCCAAAGAUAAAGCUAAAACAACAGCUGCCAAGAAAGAUCCUGUGGAAAAAGGCAAGGACAAAAUAACUCCUACAAAGAAAGAGCCUGCAAUCUCCAAAGAAAAAGUCAAGGCAACCACUAGCAAGACAACCACACCCACUACCAAGAAAGUUGUUUUAGAACCCGAGCCCCCUAAAGAAAAAACCACUCCAAGAGUCCCCACUAUGAGGAAAGGUAACCACACAAAUGUAGUGGUGCCAAUGGUCAAAGCCACCGCAAGAGUUGUCGCUAUAAGACCCAUAUCUACAAAAAAAGGUCCUGCGAUGAAGGAGAAGCUAACUAACGCACCUGAAGCAGGUACAGUAAAGUGCAUCACUCCUAUCUAUUAG
rnacentral:lncRNA from 1 species